AGAACGAACGCUGGCGGCAGGCCUCAAACAUGCAAGUCUAGGGGGUGUAGCAAUACAUCACCGGCGGACGGGUGCGUAACACGUGGGAAUAUACCUUUUGGUUCGGAACAACGCAGGGAAACUUGCGCUAAUACCGAAUGUGCCCUUACGGGGAAAGAUUUAUCGCCAAAGGAUUAGCACGCGUAGGAUUAGCUAGUUGGUGAGGUAAUGGCUCACCAAGGCUCCGAUCCUUAGCUGUUCUGAGAGGAAGAUCAGCCACACUGGGACUGAGACACGGCCCAGACUCCUACGGGAGGCAGCAGUUGGGAAUCUGGACAAUGGGGGAAACCCUGAUCCAGCCAUGCCGCGUGAGUGAUGAAGGCCUUCGGGUUGUAAAACUCUUUCGACGGGACGAUAAUGACGGUACCCGUAGAAGAAGCUCCGGCUAACUUCGCGCCAGCAGCCGC
rnacentral:rRNA from 1 species